UACAGAGGUCUCAAGCGUUGUUCGGAAUCACUGGGCGUAAAGGGCGCGUAGGUGGCGGGACAAGCGUGCGGUGAAAGCCUGGGGCUCAACCCCGGGUCGGCCGUGCGAACUGUUUUGCUUGAGCACUGUAGAGGCAGGCGGAAUUCCGGGUGUAGCGGUGGAAUGCGUAGAGAUCCGGAAGAACACCGGUGGCGAAGGCGGCCUGCUGGGCAGUAGCUGACACUGAGGCGCGACAGCGUGGGGAGCAAACAGG
rnacentral:rRNA from 1 species